UCCAGACUCCUACGGGAGGCAGCAGUGAGGAAUAUUGGUCAAUGGCCGAGAGGCUGAACCAGCCAAGUCGCGUGAGGGAUUAAGGCCCUGCGGGUCGUAAACCUCUUUUGCCGGGGAGCAGAGGUCCGGACGUGUCCGGGCCGGGAGAGUACCCGGAGAAAAAGCAUCGGCUAACUCCGUGCCAGCAGCCGCGGUAAUACGGAGGAUGCGAGCGUUAUCCGGAUUUAUUGGGUUUAAAGGGUGCGUAGGCGGGCAUUUAAGCCGGCGGUGAAAUGUCGGGGCUCAACCCCGGCCUGCCGUCGGAACUGGGUGCCUUGAGUGGGCGAGAAGUAUGCGGAAUGCGUGGUGUAGCGGUGAAAUGCAUAGAUAUCACGCAGAACCCCGAUUGCGAAGGCAGCAUACCGGCGCCCUACUGACGCUGAGGCACGAAAGUGCGGGUAUCGAACAGGAUUAGAUACCCUUGUAC
rnacentral:rRNA from 1 species